UACGAGGGGGGCGAGCGUUGUUCGGAAUUAUUGGGCGUAAAGGGUGCGUAGGCGGUUUGGUAAGUCUUAUGUGAAAUCUAUGGGCUCAACUCAUAGUCUGCAUGAGAAACUGCCGGGCUUGAGUGUGGGAGAGGUGCGUGGAAUUCCCGGUGUAGCGGUGAAAUGCGUAGAUAUCGAGAGGAACACCUGCGGCGAAGGCGGGUUGCUGGGCUGACACUGACGCUGAGGCGCGAAAGCUAGGGGAGCGAACGGG
rnacentral:rRNA from 1 species